rnacentral:misc_RNA from 1 species
GCAAACUUGGUCAUUUAGAGGAAGUAAAAGUCGUAACAAGGUUUCCGUAGGUGAACCUGCGGAAGGAUCAUUAACGAGUAAGGGUCUCUCAGGCCCGACCUCCCAACCCUCUGUCUACUAGACCUCUGUUGCUUCGGCGGACCCGUCCCAAACGGACCGCCGGAGGACCGCCCAUCGUGCCGCGUCCUCUGGCCAGCGUCCGCCGAUAGCCCCUUCAAACUCUGGAAUAAUCAUGAUUUUACCGUCUAAGUGAUUUUAUUCAAUUAAAAGCAAAAACUUUCAACAACGGAUCUCUUGGUUCUGGCAUCGAUGAAGAACGCAGC